AGAGUUUGAUCAUGGCUCAGGAUGAACGCUAGCUACAGGCUUAACACAUGCAAGUCGAGGGGCAGCAUGUUGGUUGCUUGCAACCAAUGAUGGCGACCGGCGCACGGGUGAGUAACGCGUAUCCAACCUACCCUUGUCCAUCGGAUAACCCGUCGAAAGGCGGCCUAACACGAUAUGCGGUUCACAGCAGGCAAUCUAAGGUGAACGAAAUGUGAAGGAGAAGGAUGGGGAUGCGUCUGAUUAGCUUGUUGGCGGGUAACGCCACAAGGCUACGAUCAGUAGGGGUUCUGAGAGGAAGGUCCCCCANAUUGGAACUGAGACACGGUCCAAACUCCUACGGGGAGCA
rnacentral:rRNA from 1 species